rnacentral:rRNA from 1 species
UACAGAGGUCUCAAGCGUUGUUCGGAUUCAUUGGGCGUAAAGGGUGCGUAGGCGGCGCGGUAAGUCGGGUGUGAAAUCUCGGAGCUUAACUCCGAAACUGCAUUCGAUACUGCUGUGCUUGAGGACUGGAGAGGAGACUGGAAUUUACGGUGUAGCGGUGAAAUGCGUAGAUAUCGUAAGGAAGACCAGUGGCGAAGGCGGGUCUCUGGACAGUUCCUGACGCUGAGGCACGAAGGCCCAGGGGAGCAAAACGGG